CUCCGGUGGAUCCCGCCGGGACCCGACUGCUAUCGGAUUGAGAUUUAGCCAUGCGAGUCGAACGUCCCCCUGUUGCGGGGGGCGUGGCGUACGGCUCAGUAACACGUAGUCAACCUGCCCUGGAGACAAGGACAACCCCGGGAAACUGGGAUUAAUCCUUGAUAGGUCAUCUCAUCUGGAAGGAGAGAUGGCUUAAAGGGGUACGCGGGCUUCUUCCGCGAAUUCGCUCCAGGAUGGGACUGCGUCCGAUCAGGCUGUUGGCGGGGUAAUGGCCCACCAAACCUGUAACCGGUACGGGCCUUGAGAGAGGUGGCCCGGAGAUGGACACUGAGAGAAGGGUCCAGGUCCUACGGGGCGCAGCAGGCGCGAAACCUUCGCAAUGCGCGAAAGCGUGACGAGGUUAAUCCGAGUGACUCCCGCUUAGGGGGUCUUUUGUCAGCUGUAAAUAGGCAGGCGAAUAAGGGGAGGGCAAGCCUGGUGUCAGCCGCCGCGGUAAUACCAGCUCCUCGAGUGGUCGGGGCGAUUAUUGGGCCUAAAGCAUCCGUAGCCGGUUCCGUAGGUCCUCUGUUAAAUCCAACCGCUUAACGGUUGACCUGCAGAGGAUACCGCGGGACUAGGAGGCGGGAGAGGCGGACGGUACUCCGCGUGUAGGGGUAAAAUCCUUUGAUCCGCGGAAGACCACCAGUGGCGAAGGCGGUCCGCCAGAACGCGCUCGACGGUGAGGGAUGAAAGCUGGGGGAGCGAACCGGAUUAGAUACCCGGGUAGUCCCAGCCGUAAACGAUGCUAGCUAGAUGAUUCAUUCGCAAGUCGCGAAUGAAGUGUCGCAGGGAAGCCGUUAAGCUAGCCGCCUGGGGAGUACGGUCGCAAGACUGAAACUUAAAGGAAUUGGCGGGGGAGCA
rnacentral:rRNA from 1 species